CCCUUAGAUGUCCUGGGCCGCACGCGCGCUACACUGACAUGUUCAACAAGCCUCCUAGUUCGACAGGAUUUGGGAAAUCUUUGAACGCAUGUCGUGGUAGGGAUAGAUCAUUGCAAUUAUUGAUCUUGAACGAGGAAUUCCUAGUAAACGCGAGUCAUCAGCUCGCAUUGAUUACGUCCCUGCCCUUUGUACACACCGCCCGUCGCACCUACCGAUUGAAUGUUUCGGUGAAGAUUCCGGAUAGGACUUUUUUGAUUUAUUUCAAUUCUGUCUUAAAAGCUAUCUAAACCUCAACAUUUAGAGGAAGGUGAAGUCGUAACA
rnacentral:rRNA from 1 species